CUGGGAAUUUCUGUGUGCCACAUGUAUGGCCCUAAAUAGAAAAACAAACAUGCAUGUGUUCCCCAGACCUAGUUUUGCCUUGAUCUGGUUUAACAAAUGCUGGUGAUAAAC
rnacentral:snoRNA from 1 species